GACGAACGCUGGCGGCGUGCUUAACACAUGCAAGUUGAACGGAAAGGCCCUGCUUUUGUGGGGUGCUCGAGUGGCGAACGGGUGAGUAACACGUGAGUAACCUGCCCUUGACUUUGGGAUAACUUCAGGAAACUGGGGCUAAUACCGGAUAGGAGCUCCUGCUGCAUGGUGGGGGUUGGAAAGUUUCGGCGGUUGGGGAUGGACUCGCGGCUUAUCAGCUUGUUGGUGGGGUAGUGGCUUACCAAGGCUUUGACGGGUAGCCGGCCUGAGAGGGUGACCGGCCACAUUGGGACUGAGAUACGGCCCAGACUCCUACGGGAGGCAGCAGUGGGGAAUAUUGCACAAUGGGCGGAAGCCUGAUGCAGCAACGCCGCGUGCGGGAUGACGGCCUUCGGGUUGUAAACCGCUUUCGCCUGUGACGAUGCGUGAGUGACGGUAAUGGGUAAAGAAGCACCGGCUAACUACGUG
rnacentral:rRNA from 1 species